GAUGAACGCUGGCGGCGUGCCUAAUACAUGCAAGUCGAGCGAACAGACGAGGAGCUUGCUCCUUUGACGUUAGCGGCGGACGGGUGAGUAACACGUAGGUAACCUACCUAUAAGACUGGGAUAACUUCGGGAAACCGGAGCUAAUACCGGAUAAUAUUUCGAACCGCAUGGUUCGAUAGUGAAAGAUGGCUUUGCUAUCACUUAUAGAUGGACCUGCGCCGUAUUAGCUAGUUGGUAAGGUAACGGCUUACCAAGGCAACGAUACGUAGCCGACCUGAGAGGGUGAUCGGCCACACUGGAACUGAGACACGGUCCAGACUCCUACGGGAGGCAGCAGUAGGGAAUCUUCCGCAAUGGGCGAAAGCCUGACGGAGCAACGCCGCGUGAGUGAUGAAGGUCUUCGGAUCGUAAAACUCUGUUAUUAGGGAAGACCAAACGUGUAAGUAACUGUGCACGUCUUGACGGUACCUAAUCAGAAAGCCACGGCUAACUACGUG
rnacentral:rRNA from 1 species